rnacentral:rRNA from 1 species
AACGAACGCUGGCGGCAGGUCUUAGGCAUGCAAGUCGAACGGGUGUAGCAAUACAUCAGUGGCGCACGAGUGAGUAACGCGUGGGAAUUUGCCCAUCGGUGGGGAAUAACGUUUGGAAACGAACGCUAAUACCGCAUACGUCGAGAAAUCGAGAAAGAUUUAUCGCCGAUGGAUAAGCCCGCGUUGGAUUAGCUUGUUGGUAGGGUAAUGGCCUACCAAGGCGAUGAUCCAUAGCUGGUCUGAGAGGACGAUCAGCCACGCUGGGCCUGAGAAACGGCCCGGACUCCUACGGGGGGCAGAAGCUAGGAAUAUUGGACAAGGGAGGGGACUCUGUUCCAGCCAUGCCGCGUGAGUGAAGAAGGCCUUCGGGUUGUAAGGCUCUCUUACUCGUGAGGAUGAUGACGGUAGCGACAGAAAAAGCACCGGCUACCUUCGUGCCAGCCGCCGCCGUAA